UUCACCAUUGUCCACAACUCCAAUCCCAGGGGGAUUCAGUACUUUGUUCUCACCACGGUAGGCACCAGGUAUAUGAUCAUGCACAUAUAUGCAGGUAAACUAUUCAUACACAUAAAAUAAAUAAAUAUUUUUAAAAGAAAUCUUUUUAUUGAAAAGAAUCAAAAACCUUCAAGAUAAUACAGCAAGAAGAAAAGACAUAGAUAAUUACAAGUGUUCAUAGGUCCAGGCGCUGUAGCCCUGUCAUGUGCUCCAAAAGUAUGCACUGAGGUUUUGUGAGGAAAACCCAUCCUUGCUGGGGUCUCACUAAGCCUGGCAGUGGCCAAAGCCUUGCAAACCCUCCCGGAGGGUCUUGGAUGGAGGCAGCAGAACACCAUUGCAGGCUACAGAAUAAGAGAGGAGAAUGCAGUGUGAGGUUCGAUGAGUCUCCCCUGGCUGGGGGGCUGUGGAGCUGAGACCCAGGAGAGGGGAAGGGGGCUGCUUAGAGCAUAACCCUCUAUUCCCAAACAUGUUGGAAUUGAUUCUAGAUCUUUCUUCUUGGCUCCAGUUUCCCUCAGACCCUCAGGCUGGCUCUGGCUGUCCCUGUUGUGCAGGCUCAGUCUCCAUCAGUUUCUUGGAUGGGCUCCACAUUGUGGCAAUGAACAAGGCACUCGGGGCUUGAUGUGACAAAAGAGGAAAACAUCCAGAAGACACUCUAACCUGGAAUCCAGGAGCCCUGAUUCUAUGGGCUACUCACAGAGCGACUUUGGACAGAUUUUACUAUAGUACACGGGUAUUUUGCCCACGUGUACAUCUGUGCAGCACUUGCUGCCUGGUACCUGACGACCAUAGAGGCCAGAAGAUGGAGCUGGAUCCCAUGGAACUGAAGUAACAUGGUGAGCCACCAAGUGGUUGCUGGGAAUCGAACUAAGGUUUUCUGGAAGAGCGGCAAGUGCUUUUAACCACCGAGCUAUCUCUGCAGCUGUACACUAACCAUUUCAAAGCGUGCACACCAACAGUAUUUAGUACACCCACAGUUCUGGGCGGCCUUCUCCUCUAUCUAGGUCUACAGCGUCUUCGUUAUCUCAACGGAAACCCCUACCCAACCAGUGGGGACUCCUACCCACUUCUCAGCUUCUUUUAAAUACCAACCUAGUUUUGAGGCUUAUCCAUGGGUGUGUAAAGAAGCACUCCAUUAUUUUUCGUUGCUCAUUAGUAUUUCACUGUAUUAACACACCAAAUUCUGUGAGACAGGUGUGUUGCUCCCCGUACUGAAGGCAAUAGCGUGACACGUUAAUUCACCAACCUAGCUUCUUGAGGGCUGGUGUUACGGUUGUGCAUAAAUACACCUGGCUCCAUCUUUGGAUUAUUUUCCAUAGUAACAGCAUGAAUAUGAAUGUUCAUGCAUAACUUUGCAAUUCAAUAUCUUUUUCGUUUUCCUCUGCUUCUUUUGGUCUUUACCUUACUUGACCUGUGGGGUCAUUUAACUUCUUGAGGCAUGGCUGAUCUAUUUCCAAAGCAGAUGAACUGUUUUAUGUUUCCAUCAGCAGUGAUCUUAGGUUCCAACUAGUUUCUCCACAUUCUUGCCAACUCUUGUUAUUUUACAUUAAAACCAUGUGAUGGGGCUAUAACAAAAGCUCAGUCAUUUGCCAUACAGGCCUGUCAACCAAGUUUGAUCCUUGGAAUUCAUUAUGGAAGGCCAAAACUGACUCCUGAAAGCCAGAAUGUUGCCCUCUGACCUCUACCCACAUGACAUGGUGGGAAGACAGUGAAACAGCAUUCUCUCUCUCUCUCUCUCUCUCUCUCUCUCUCUCUCUCUCUCUCUCUCNCACACACACACACACACACACACACACACACACACUGAAAAAAUUACUUAUAGCCACUCUAAUGUGUAUAGAGAUAUCUCAUUAUAGAUUUAAAAAUUAAUAGUAAGCUAUUUUAGGAGUUAUUUUAGAUUCAUAGAAGGAUUAUUCAGAAUAAAGAGUUUCCAUUUACUCCCCCCCCACAACACCCCCUCCCCCGUGUCCACUCAUGCAAAACCUUUCCUAGUGUCAACCACUGGUACCACAGUGGUACAUUUGUUUCAGUGAAUGAGCCUACAUGGGUACACCAUCAUGUCCCCAAGUCCACAUUUCACAUUAGCAUUUACUUUCAGGGUUGCUCAGCCCAUGAGUCGUUGACAGAUGCACAGUGGUGUGUAACCACUGCUACAGCAUUGUCCUCUGUACAAGCAACGUCUCUGCCCUAUGAAUCCUAUGUCCUGCUCAUUGUGGUUUUGAUUUGCAUUUCUUUAAUGACUGAUGGCAUUCAACAUCAGUCUCGUGGUUUUCAGACAGUCUUGAGAAGCCCCCUGAGGCCCACCAUGGUGAGAAAGGGAAGGCAGAGCAGGUGGCAAUGGCAUUCAUUCAAGACCCUCACAACCCCAUCUGUCACAAGUGUUUCACUUUCAUAUACUCAGCAUGUCACGAAAUACUCUGCCAUCACCAAUGGUGCUGAGGCCAAGCUAACUUUGACACUUGAUCGUGUGUCAUCUCUAUUGACUCUUAGCCCAUGUCUUGAGGUAGUUAAUAUCCCAAACUGAGAGUAGAAGUGGAUUUUCUGACUCCUGGUUCAUUCUCUUUCCGUUCUAUCAUCCUAUCAGUAACAACAGAAAUAAAGACAGUUACCCAUGACUUAAAUGCUUACAUUGUGGCAGGUCCUGAUAUAAGCACUGUCAUACAGUUCAACCAUGAUAUAUCUCUGUGUUUCAUGCCUUGAAGAGGCAUGUUCACAGGUUGUGAUGGUUAGCUUUAAUUGUCAACUUGACACAACUUAGAAUCAUCUGGGAAGAGAGUCUCAGUGAGAAACUGUCUACAUUGGAUUGGUCUGAGGGCAGGUCAAUAGGGAACUGUCUAAGCUAAAUGAUAUGGAAAGAUCCAGUCCACUUUUGGUGGCAUCAUUCCCUUGGAGACUGUUGUCCAGUGGUUUCAUCUGUGACUAAAGCAUUCCAUCCUGCAGGGAGGAAAGAAGGUAAACAACUCAAAAAGCAACAGGAAGUCUCUGAAGCUGACCAGAUUCACAUUGUCCCUUCCUCCCAGAAGAAGCAAUAAAGAUGACUGAGAGUCACUCUUAGACAAGCCAAGCUGCAAUGAAGACUUAGACUGGAAGAAGCAGAUAUCAGAUGAGCUGCUUGGAAGAGAUUUAGACCAGUUGAGUCACUUUGAAGGGACACUCUUCAACCUGAUGAGUUGCCUGCAUGCUGUGCAGUGAGCUCCAGGUUCUCAGCUUUGUGAGCUCUCACCCAUGCCAGAGUGGGCUUUGCUGAUGCAGCUGUCUGUGAGUCAUUUCUGCUCUUGUAAGGAAGCCCUCGCCUAUAUUCCUAUGAGUAACCCCAAUAAAAACCUCCUUGGCUCACCAAGUUUGACUUUGGUGUCUGUAUUUUGGUCUGUUGUUAGCUCUCUAUUUGGGGUGGGUAGAUGUGUGCGUUGCAUCUCCCUAGGAAAAGUCUUGUCACACAACAGAUCUAAAGGGUAAAAUACAGCCAAGCACAGCAGGUAAAACAGUGAACAUGGCUCCAUCUACCUCUCUCUGCUCUGGUUAUCAUGUGACUAGAUGUUUGAAGGUCUAGUCUUGACUUCCCUACAAUUAUGGCCUAUAACCUGGAAUUGUAAGUGGAAAUAAAACCUUUUCUCAC
ensembl:lincRNA Gm13881 predicted gene 13881